UACGGGGGGGGCAAGCGUUGUUCGGAAUUACUGGGCGUAAAGGGCUCGUAGGCGGCCAACUAAGUCAGACGUGAAAUCCCUCGGCUUAACCGGGGAACUGCGUCUGAUACUGGAUGGCUUGAGUUUGGGAGAGGGAUGCGGAAUUCCAGGUGUAGCGGUGAAAUGCGUAGAUAUCUGGAGGAACACCGGUGGCGAAGGCGGCAUCCUGGACCGAUACUGACGCUGAGGAGCGAAAGCCAGGGGAGCAAACGGG
rnacentral:rRNA from 1 species